rnacentral:rRNA from 1 species
AUGGUGAGGUCGGAGGCGACGAUGCAGGGAGGCACGACGCCGGCCGGCGUCACCUCCUCGGCGCCCUUCUCCUUGCCGCCGCCAAAUAAUAGCUCUUCACUACAACGAGCUGCGCCGGAGGUGAGCGGGGAGGGCGACAGGAGGAGCACCGGCGGCGGCUCGAGGCGCGGGCGGACGGGGAGGUGCUCGGGCGGCCGGCACCAGCGUCGGGUAGGGAGAAGAGGGGGGGGCGCGCCGGCCGCCCUGCUCUGGGCAAGAGGGAGAAGGCGGAGGCCGUCAGGGAGGGGCAGUUGGGUGGAGAGGGAGAGGAGACGGUUGAGGUGUUGCAGGAGAAAGCGGCGCUCGGGACCUUAUCCCUUCCCUCUUCGCUACAGUAACGCUCGCACGAAUAAA